rnacentral:rRNA from 1 species
ACGGGGUGCAGCAGGCGCGAAACCUCCUCAAUGCACUUACGUGCGAAGGGGCUACCUCGAGUGCCAUCUGAUGAAGGUGGCUUUUCCUAGGUCUACAAAGCCUUGGGAAUAAGAGGGGGGCAAGACUGGUGUCAGCCGCCGCGGUAACACCAGCCCCUCGAGUGGUGGGGAUGAUUAUUGGGCCUAAAGCGUCCGUAGCCUGCCGUGUAAGUUUCCCGUUAAAUCCAGCGUCUCAAGCGUUGGACCGCGGGAAAUACUGUACGGCUAGAGAGUGGGAGAGGUCAGCGGUAUUCUGGGGGUAGGGGCGAAAUCCUUUGAUCCCCGGAGGACCACCAGUGGCGAAGGCUGCUGUCUAGAACACGUCUGACGGUCAGGGACGAAAGCUGAGGUAGCGAACCGGAUUAGAUACCCGGGUAGUCCCAGCCGUAAACGAUGCAUGCUAGGUGUUGGGUUGGCCACGAGCCACCCCAGUGCCGCAGGGAAGCCGUUAAGCAUGCCGCCUGGGAAGUACGAUCGCAAGGUUGAAACUUAAAGGAAUUGGCGGGGGAGCACCACCAGGCGUGAAGCCUGCGGUUUAAUUGGAGUCAACGCCGGGAACCUUACCGGGAGCGACAGCAGAGUGAAGGUCAGAUUGAAGAUCUUACCAGACGAGCUGAGAGGAGGUGCAUGGCCGUCGCCAGUUCGUGCCGUGAGGUGUUAUGUUAAGUCAUAUAACGAACGAGACCCGUGCCGCAUGUUGCCACCAGAAUCUAAAGGAUUGCUGAGCACUCUUGCGG